UUCGACGGAAACGUAAGAUGGGUAUAAGAGAAAGGACCCCAUGCCGAACUCAGAAGUGAAACGCCGUAGCGCCGAUGGUAGUGUGGGGUCUCCCCAUGUGAGAGUAGGGAACUGCCAGGC
rnacentral:rRNA from 1 species